rnacentral:tRNA from 1 species
AGUCUUUCUAGCUCAAUUGGAUAGAGCGUAUUUCUUGUAAAAAUAAGGUUAGUGGUUCAAUUCCGCUGAGGGACA